UACGAAGGGGGCUAGCGUUGCUCGGAAUUACUGGGCGUAAAGCGCACGUAGGCGGCUCUUUAAGUCGGAGGUGAAAUCCUGGAGCUCAACUCCAGAACUGCCUUUGAUACUGAAGAUCUUGAGUCCGGGAGAGGUGAGUGGAACUGCGAGUGUAGAGGUGAAAUUCGUAGAUAUUCGCAAGAACACCAGUGGCAAAGGCGGCUCACUGGCCCGGUACUGACGCUGAGGCACGAAAGCGUGGGGAGCAAACAGG
rnacentral:rRNA from 1 species